rnacentral:rRNA from 1 species
UACGGAGGGUGCAAGCGUUAUCCGGAAUCACUGGGUUUAAAGGGUGCGUAGGCGGUCAGAUAAGUCAGUUGUGAAAUACCCCGGCUUAACCGGCGGAACUGCGAUUGAUACUGUUUGACUUGAAUCAGGUUGAGGUAGGCAGAAUGUGGCAUGUAGCGGUGAAAUGCUUAGAUAUGCCAUAGAACACCGAUUGCGAAGGCAGCUUGCUGGACCUGUAUUGACGCUGAGGCACGAAAGCGUGGGGAGCAAACAGG